rnacentral:misc_RNA from 1 species
AACGAUAAAUCGCGUUUUUAAACGCCCACACGAGUAAUCAAAUAUUAUAAAGAAGAACAUUUUGUUCUGUAAAAUCAUUGGUAUGUAAUUUUCUAAGUGAAUAAAUUUAUUUAUUCAUAAGAUCACUGCAAUUAAAAAGUAGCGUCUGCAUUUAUGUAGACGCUCAAAAAGUAAUUAAUAUAUUUUAUUAAGUUACUCUCAAAAAAGAAGAUAAAACUUCUAAAAAAAUAAUAUAACCUUUUUU